GUAGUCCAGUAUGGAGGAGUCUGGAAUGAACCAAAACAAUUGUAGACCAACAGAUGUCGUGAGGAUUUCCGUUAGAUUGACCUCGUCAACUCACAUAUGACAGGAAAGAUGAAACUGUAAUUGGAGUUGUUACCAUAAGGGGUUUUAAGGGAGAAGGAGAAAGGCAUGUGCAUCGAGGAGGUCGGAGAUAAAGGUCCAGUUUGAAGAAUCAACACACAGAGACUCGUUGAGAUCUAUGAGGAUAACGGUAAUGCAUGCGAGCAAGGACGAGUUUGCGGCUCUGCUCUCAGAUCGAUGACCAAUAUGUGUUCACAGCAUUUUAUCAUAGAUUGAAACGUACGGAUCCAUGAGUACCAUAGGAGACAUCCAGCUGCACGCACUAGUUGUUGAUGCCAAUAAGGAACAUGAAGCACUGCUCAAACAGGAGCCUCAAGUGGAGAGAUGAAUGAUUGAUUCGCCUUCAGUGAGAUUGGAACUUAUCACUUGCCUUCAGACGAUUGAUAGCAACAACUAUCCUGAGGUACUAUCUAUACGAACAUCUUUUGGUCUAUAUUAUUUUUGUGGACAACACAACUGUGAGUUUUCUUGUUUUCAUUGCAGACUGUGAAUUGUAUGUUUAUCAUUAAUGCUGGUUCUGGUUUUAUAGGAUCCAGCCAAAUUGUUC